CCUACGGGUGGCAGCAGUGAGGAAUAUUGGUCAAUGGGCGCUAGCCUGAACCAGCCAAGUAGCGUGAAGGAUGACUGCCCUAUGGGUUGUAAACUUCUUUUAUAUGGGAAUAAAGUGCAGUAUGUAUACUGCUUUGCAUGUACCUUAUGAAUAAGGAUCGGCUAACUCCGUGCCAGCAACGGCGGUAAUACGGAGGUGCCGAGCGUUAUCCGGAUUUAUUGGGUUUAAGGGGAGCGUAGGCGGGUUGUUAGGUCAGUUGUGAAAGUUUGCGGUGAAAGCGGAAAAUUGCAGUUGAUACUGGCAUCCUUGAGUGCAGUAGAGGUGGGCGGAAUGCGUGGUGUAGCGGUGAAAUGCUUAGAUAUCACGCAGAACUCCGAUUGCGAAGGCAGCCUGCUAGACUGUAACUGACGCUGAUGCUCGAAAGUGUGGGUAUCAAACAGGAUUAGAUACCCUGGUAGUC
rnacentral:rRNA from 1 species